CCCCCGUGCAUAGAUUGUGUAAACUAACCGGAUUGCAUCCAGCCAGCCAUCCAGGGACUCCCAUGAAUCAGCAACCAAGAAAAAUGGUCCAUGAAUUGUAUCAAUGCAGAGGCCUGAACCAGGUGGCAAAGUCAGAUCGGCACAAGCUGAUACAGAAACAAUAUCUGGAACAUCGACUUUGAUAGCCCUUUUUUCACUGUUUGUGACAUCUGGUCUACCUAAGAGGUUCUGAACUUGUUUUUGCUCUAAUUUAUUAACCUGUUGAAGCCCUUCAUGAUUUAA
rnacentral:misc_RNA from 1 species